UACGUAGGGGGCGAGCGUUGUUCGGAAUUACUGGGCGUAAAGGGCGCGCAGGCGGCUCUGAAAGUCAGAUGUGAAAGCCCCGGGCUUAACCUGGGAACUGCAUUUGAUACUCUAGAGCUUGAGUACGGGAGAGGAGAGUGGAAUUCCCAGUGUAGAGGUGAAAUUCGUAGAUAUUGGGAAGAACACCGGUGGCGAAGGCGGCUCUCUGGACCGUAACUGACGCUGAGGCGCGAAAGCGUGGGGAGCAAACAGG
rnacentral:rRNA from 1 species